rnacentral:rRNA from 1 species
UACGUAGGGGGCAAGCGUUGUCCGGAUUUAUUGGGCGUAAAGAGCGUGUAGGCGGCCAAAUAGGUCGGUUGUGAAAACUGGAGGCUUAACCUCCAGACGUCGACCGAAACCAUCUGGCUAGAGUCCGGAAGAGGAGAGUGGAAUUCCUGGUGUAGCGGUGAAAUGCGCAGAUAUCAGGAAGAACACCAACGGCGAAGGCAGCUCGCUGGGACGGUACUGACGCUGAGACGCGAAAGCGUGGGGAGCAAACAGG